rnacentral:rRNA from 1 species
UUGGUGGCGACCGGCGCACGGGUGAGUAACGCGUAUGCAACCCCCUUAUCAGAGGGGAAUAACCCGGCGAAAGUCGGACUAAUACCGCAUAAAACAGGGACACCGCAUGGUGAUAUUUGUUAAAGAAAUUCGCUGAUAGAUGGGCAUGCGUUCCAUUAGGUAGUUGGUGAGGUAACGGCUCACCAAGCCGACGAUGGAUAGGGGAACUGAGAGGUUGGUCCCCCACACUGGUACUGAGACACGGACCAGACUCCUACGGGAGGCAGCAGUGAGGAAUAUUGGUCAAUGGGCGAGAGCCUGAACCAGCCAAGUCGCGUGAAGGAAGAAGGAUCUAUGGUUCGUAAACUUCUUUUGCAGGGGAAUAAAGUGCAGGACGUGUCCUGUUUUGUAUGUACCCUGAGAAUAAGGAUCGGCUAACUCCGUGCCAGCAGCCGCGGUAAUACGGAGGAUCCGAGCGUUAUCCGGAUUUAUUGGGUUUAAAGGGUGCGUAGGUGGUUUGAUAAGUCAGCGGUGAAAGUUUGCAGCUUAACUGUAAAAAUGCCGUUGAAACUGUCGGACUUGAGUGUAAAUGAGGUAGGCGGAAUGCGUGGUGUAGUGGUGAAAUGCUUAGAUAUCACGAAGAACUCCGAUUG